UAAACUGCAAGUCGAGCGGUAGCACGUAGAGCUUGCUCUCGGGUGACUAGCGGCGGACGGGUGAGUAAUGUCUGGGAAACUGGCUGAUGGAAGGGGAUAACUACUGGAAACGGUGGCUAAUACCGCAAAACGUCUCAGAACCAAAGUGGGGGACCUUCGGGCCUCACGCCAUCAGAUGUGCCCAGAUGGGAUUAGCUAGUAGGUGGGGUAAUGGCUCACCUAGGCUACGAUCCGUAGCUGGUCUGAGAGGAUGACCAGCCACACUGGAACUGACACACGGUCCAGACUCCUACAGGAGGCAGCAGUGGGGAAUAUUGCACAAUGCGUCGCAAGCGUGAUGCAGCCAUGCCGCGUGUAUGAAGAAGGCCUUCGGGUUGUAAAGUACUUUCAGCGAGGAGGAAGGCAUUAAAGUUAAUAACCUUUGUGAUUGACGUUACUCGCAGAAGAAGCACCGGCUAACUCCGUGCCAACAACCGCGGUAAUACGGAGGGUGCAAGCGUUAAUCGGAAUUACUGGGCAUAAAGCGCACGCAAGCGGUCUGUCAAGUCGGAUGUAAAAUCCCCGGGCUCAACCUGGGAACUGCAUUCGAAACUGGUUGGCUACAGUCUUGUAUAGGGGGGUAGAAUUCCAGGUGUAAUUCGUUAAAUGCGUAGUAAAUCUGCGAAGAAUACCUGGUGGCAAAACGCGGUCCCCCUGGGACAAAGUACUGACGCUGUAAGUGCACACAGCGUGGGCGAGCAAACAGGGAUUACAAUACCCCUGGUAGAUCCACGUGCGUAAACCGAUGUCGUACUUGGAAGGAUUGUGUCCCUUGUAGGGAGUGGUCUUCCCGGCAGUUUAACUGCGUUUAAGUUCGAACCGCCCUGGGCGCAGUACGGGCCGGCGAAGGUUUAAAACCUCAAGGUGUAAAUUGCACGGGGGGGCCCCGCCACAAGGCGGCUGCGAGACAAUGUGGGUUUUAAUU
rnacentral:rRNA from 1 species